AUUGUUAGGGUUACUUGUUUAUUUUAGGGGUUACUUGUUAAUUUUUGUUAGGGUUACUUGUUAACUUUCACUAGUAGAAAAACAGUCAUUGGCACCGAUCAAUGGCCACCGGUUUUUUAAAACCGGUGGGAAAAAGAAGGAGAAAAUUCGACGGGAUUUUGAGGGAAGACUAUUUCCACCGGUUCAAACCGAACCGGUAGGGAAAAUGUUAAUCCCACCGGUUAAAAACCGGUGGCAAUAGUAAAAAAAUAAAAACAAAAAACGCCCCUCUAUUUUCUCUCUCUUUCCUCAUUAUCUUUCUCUUUCCUCGACCCUCGACCUAGCUUUCUCUAUCUUCUUUCUCCUCUCUCCUCAACUAGAUCUCCCUCUUCUCUCUCUCUUUCCUCUUCGGCCGUGCCGCCGUCCAAUCCACCUCGCCGGCGCACUCUCCUCUCAGCUCUCUGUCUAUCUAUCCAUCCCACCUCGCAUUCACUCUCCUCUCAGCUCUCUAUUUCUCUCUUUCAUUUACCCUCGCACAACCACCAAUGCCGCCGCCAAUUCGAACCAUGCAAGCAUCAAUUGGCCAACACCACCGUCGCUGCCGUCUUCAAUUUGAACCAAAUACAACAACAACAAACUUGAAUCAAUUAUCGAUUCAAAAAUCAGAAAUUUGAUGUUAGGGUUUCCAGGUUCUUUGGCUUUGCGUUUUGGUCCAAUUAUUCAGAGGUAUUGUCACAUUGUCCUUGAAAAGGGUCCAGAAGCUGAGUUUUUUGAAGAGCUGGGUCCUAAAGCAAUGGUUGCUUCUGGGCAAGUUGGUGUGUGUGUAAGAAAUGGAGGGAAGGGGUGAAGCAAUCAAUGGGAAGGAGGCGAAGUUUGAGCUUUUCUGGAUGUAAAAUGGAUGAUGCCUCUACUUCUUGCCUUGUUCAUCUUGCCUUCUCUCUCAAGGAACUUGACAUGUCUCAAGAGCUACUUCUUUGCAGCACCUCAACAUUGGCGGAACCUUUAUCACCGAUGAAUCUCUAUUUGCCAUUGGAAACAAUUGUCUACAUUUGAAGGUUUUUUGUAAUAUAAACUGGGUUAUUGUAAGUAUUAAAGUAGUUAAUUAAGGAUAGUUUUCUGGUAGUAUGUUGGUCUGAUAAAUUUGCAUUUGUUCAUAUCACGCAGACUAUAGUGUUACUUUAAUUUUUUGGACAAAAAUUGUAAUAUCACAUCAUUUUUUGUGAAAAUAUGUAAGUUUAUACAUAUGUUAGUGUUUAUUUAUCAA